UACGGAGGAGGCAAGCGUUAUCCGGAAUUAUUGGGCGUAAAGCGUCCGCAGGUGGCUGUGUAAGUCUGCUGUCAAAGAGCAAAGCUCAACUUUGUAAAGGCAGUGGAAACUACACGGCUAGAGUGCGUUCGGGGCAGAGGGAAUUCCUGGUGUAGCGGUGAAAUGCGUAGAGAUCAGGAAGAACACCGGUGGCGAAGGCGCUCUGCUAGGCCGCAACUGACACUGAGGGACGAAAGCUAGGGGAGCGAAUGGG
rnacentral:rRNA from 1 species